UACGGAAGGCAGCAGUGGGGAAUAUUGCACAAUGGGCGCAAGCCUGAUGCAGCCAUGCCGCGUGUAUGAAGAAGGCCUUCGGGUUGUAAAGUACUUUCAGCGGGGAGGAAGGCGAUGCGGUUAAUAACCGCGUCGAUUGACGUUACCCGCAGAAGAAGCACCGGCUAACUCCGUGCCAGCAGCCGCGGUAAUACGGAGGGUGCAAGCGUUAAUCGGAAUUACUGGGCGUAAAGCGCACGCAGGCGGUCUGUUAAGUCAGAUGUGAAAUCCCCGGGCUUAACCUGGGAACUGCAUUUUGAAACUGGCAGGCUUGAGUCUUGUAGAGGGGGUAGAAGUUCCAGGUGUAGCGGUGAAAUGCGUAGAGAUCUGGAGGAAUACCGGUGGCGAAGGCGGCCCCUGGGACAAAGACUGACGCUCAGGUGCGAAAGCGUGGGGAGCAAACGAGGAUUAGAUACC
rnacentral:rRNA from 1 species